CAACCCUCGAGCUCCCCUUGGGGAGCACGGUGUUGGGGACCGGCACCAUUACCCCGCCGGCCCCGAAAUGGAGUGGCGGCCCGCCGCGGCGACCUCUGCGUAGUAGCACUACCCCGCACCGGAAACCCGACGUGGCCACGCCGUAAAACAACCCACUUUUGAA
rnacentral:misc_RNA from 1 species